rnacentral:lncRNA from 1 species
GCGAGGGUCGGCCAAAGCUUGCCUUAGACACCAUCAGAAAUGGCCAGGUAAGCGGGCUCCCAAUUAAAAAUCACCGGUCUGGUUUACCUUAGACACCAACUGAUUUAAUUAGUUUCGAUUAGAUCAACCUAACAGUUCGUGCUAGACCGCUUUGCCAAGAAUCAAGUCCAUUUGGUUCUCGUUAAAGACAUGGACUUGACCAACUACAACUAUUGUAAUUGAUCUAGAAAAUCCUUGACCUAAUCUAAGACAACAAUUGAUUAGAUUUAGUCAAUUCUCUAAUUAAGUCCAUCUUUAAUCUAACCAUAGGUCUAACCCAAUUAAUGGACCUAAUUCUCACUAACCCAUUAACCCAAUGUGUUAUGGUUUGUGUCUUAGGUUC